GAUGAACGCUAGCGGCAGGCCUAAUACAUGCAAGUCGAACGGGAUUGAGGAGCUUGCUCCUCAUGAGAGUGGCGCACGGGUGCGUAACACGUAUGUAACCUACCUUAAUCAGGGGAAUAGCCUCUCGAAAGAGAGAUUAACACCGCAUAAAAUCACACUAUGGCAUCAUAGAAUGAUCAAAUAUUUAUAGGAUUAAGAAGGGCAUUCGGAACAUUAGCUAGUGGGUAAGGUAACGGCUUACCAAGGCUACGAUGUUUAGGGGAUCUGAGAGGAUGGCCCCCCACACUGGUACUGAGACACGGACCAGACUCCUACGGGAGGCAGCAGUAAGGAAUAUUGGUCAAUGGGCGGAAGCCUGAACCAGCCAUGCCGCGUGCAGGAAGACGGCCCUACGGGUUGUAAACUGCUUUUGUACCGGAAUAAACCUUUCUACGUGUAGGAAGCUGAAUGUACGGUAAGAAUAAGGAUCGGCUAACUCCGUGCCAGCAGCAGCCGCAG
rnacentral:rRNA from 1 species